rnacentral:tRNA from 1 species
GGGGAGAUGGCUCAGCGGUUAAGAGCACUGGCUGCUCUUCCAGAGGUCCUGAGUUCAAUUCCCAGCAACCUCA